GCGGGAGUGGCGGAACUGGCAGACGCGCGGGAUUUAGGUUCCCGUGUCCUAGACGUGGGGGUUCGAGUCCCCCCUCCCGCACCA
rnacentral:tRNA from 1 species